rnacentral:tRNA from 1 species
GGAGAAGUCGCGUAGCUGGUCGAGCGCGCACGAUUGGAAAUCGUGUAGGCGUCUAAAGCGUCUCGGGGGUUCGAAUCCCCCCUUCUCCGCCA